AGAGCGAACGCUGGCGGCAGGCUUAACACAUGCAAGUCGAGCGCCCGUAGCAAUACGGGAGCGGCAGACGGGAUAGUAACACGUGGGAACGCGCCCUUCGGUUCGGAAUAACUCAGGGAAACUUGAGCUAAUACCGGAUACGCCCUUACGGGGAAAGAUUUAUUGCCGAAGGAACGGCCCGCGUCCGAUUAGCUAGUUGGUGAGGUAAUGGCUCACCAAGGCGACGAUCGGUAGCUGGUCUGAGAGGAUGACCAGCAUCACUGGGACUGAGACACGGCCCAGACUCCUACGGGAGGCAGCAGUGGGGAAUAUUGGACAAUGGGCGCAAGCCUGAUCCAGCCAUGCCGCGUGGAUGAUGAAGGCCUUAGGGUUGUAAAGUCCUUUUAACGGGGAAGAUAAUGACGGUACCGUAGAAUAAGCCCGGCUAACUUCGUGCCAGCAGCCGC
rnacentral:rRNA from 1 species